UGAGGAAUAUUGGACAAUGGGCGCAAGCCUGAUCCAGCCAUGCCGCGUGCAGGAUGACGGUCCUAUGGAUUGUAAACUGCUUUUGUACAGGAAGAAACAGUUCUACGUGUAGAACCUUGACGGUACUGUAAGAAUAAGGAUCGGCUAACUCCGUGCCAGCAGCCGCGGUAAUACGGAGGAUCCAAGCGUUAUCCGGAAUCAUUGGGUUUAAAGGGUCCGUAGGCGGUUAGAUAAGUCAGUGGUGAAAGCCCAUCGCUCAACGGUGGAACGGCCAUUGAUACUGUCUGACCUGAAUUAUUAGGAAGUAACUAGAAUAUGUAGUGUAGCGGUGAAAUGCUUAGAGAUUACAUGGAAUACCAAUUGCGAAGGCAGGUUACUACUAAUGGAUUGACGCUGAUGGACGAAAGCGUGGGUAGCGAACAGGAUUAGAUACCCGCGUAGUCCCUGAGCGGGCUGGCAAGGCGCAU
rnacentral:rRNA from 1 species